CCCUGUCCUCACAUGAAGAGGGUAUGUCUACCCUGUCCUCACAUGAAGAGGGCUUGUCUGCCCCUGUCCUCACAUGAAGAGGGCUUGUCUACCCUGUCCUCACAUGAAGAAGAAAAAAAGAAAAGGAAAGAAUGAUGGAGGUACAACUGAGAGGUUCUUCCUAUGUCUCACACUUCACAGCAGAUGUCACAAGCCACUGUCUUAGAAGCAACACCUUGUAUGGGGACGUAUAGAUGCUCUCUGAUAGCCCUGUGGACCCUGGACAGGGAUAAAGUGCUCAAUAAGGAGGCAUCUGGCAUACAGCAAGAGGAUGCUAUGGCAGGUUCUCUGAUAAGGCUGUCUGCUAAACCCCAGAAGCCCUACCAUGGUGAAAGACAAGAGUGGAAGACACUAAAAUGAAGCAGACUCUGGGCAGUCUGAGACACCCCAGCUCAAAGCCCUUUGGUAGCAGAAGCUAACACCCAAAGAGGAGGUGAGAUGGGCUGGACCUCAACAAGAUGGCAACAGAAGCCCAGGGAAGACAUGUGACUACAAAGCAAGCUGUGUCCUCCCUGGCAGGGCUUCCUGGGAGAAGGAGUCACAGGGUGAGAGGAGCCAAGAAUUAAGACCACAGCAGGUCAACAUAACUGAAAAAAAAAAUCGCAUCAAGCCAGAGCAGACCAGUUUACUUAAACCAGCAAGUCUAAGUUCUCUUGGGUUUCCCUGUGUGAAGGGAGACCUCAGAUUAACUCAAUACCAAUUUAGACAGUGAAGAGUCCAUGUUUUCAGUACAACUUAAGGAUGGCUUCUUAGUGCUUUCGUAGCUGCAUGUAUGGGCUUCAAGGGGCUUCAACACAUAGAAGGACAGAACCUAUCUCCCUCCAGGCAGAGAGAAGAAAGGAGAAGCUGCUCAAGGCAAGAUCUGCAAAGUGUGGGUCACAGUGACUUUGUUUUUCUUGGCCCACCACAUAUUGAAACCAUUCCUGCAUGUCGAUCCUGAAUAUCUAUCUCAGCCAAAUCCUUGUGAAAAUUACUUACUGAGCAGUACAACAGAGCGAGUUUCUAACAUUAAAUGUCUUGGGGUAUUUUAUCUUUUUCAAGUGCAUACCAAAAGCAAUUAAGUUCAAACUAUGGGGUAUAGUGCUUGCCAGUUUCCAUUCUUGACACAUAUGUGUCUGGGUUUACAAGUUCAAAGGCCUCUUAAAGGAUCUGAUCUCUAGCUUCAAUUUUCUCUC